rnacentral:rRNA from 1 species
AUGGGGGUAANUUGCUCAAUGGGCGCNAGCCUGUAUGCANCCAUGCCGCGUGUGUGAAGAAGGCCUUCGGGUUGUAAAGCACUUUCAGCGGGGAGGAAGGCGGUGAGGUUAAUAACCUNNUCGAUUGACGUUACCCGCANAAUAANCANCGGCUAACUCCGUGCCAGCANCCGCGGUAAUACGGAAGGGUGCAAGCGUUAAUCGGAAUUACUGGGCGUAAAGCGCACGCANGCGGUCUGUCAAGUCGGAUGUGAAAUCCCCGGGCUCAACCUGGGAACUGCAUUCGAAACUGGCAGGCUAGCAGUCUUGUAGAGGGGGGUAGAAAUUCCCAGGUG